rnacentral:rRNA from 1 species
UNGGAGAGGAAAGUGGAAUUCCUAGUGUAGCGGUGAAAUGCGUAGAUAUUAGGAAGAACACCAGUGGCGAAGGCGACUUUCUGGACGAAAACUGACGCUGAGGCGCGAAAGCCAGGGGAGCGAACGGGAUUAGAUACCCCGGUAGUCCUGGCCGUAAACGAUGGGUACUAGGUGUAGGAGGUAUCGACCCCUUCUGUGCCGGAGUUAACGCAAUAAGUACCCCGCCUGGGGAGUACGACCGCAAGGUUGAAACUCAAAGGAAUUGACGGGGGCCCGCACAAGCGGUGGAGUAUGUGGUUUAAUUCGACGCAACGCGAAGAACCUUACCAGGUCUUGACAUUGAUGGACAGAACCAGAGAUGGUUCCUCUUCUUCGGAAGCCAGAAAACAGGUGGUGCACGGUUGUCGUCAGCUCGUGUCGUGAGAUGUUGGGUUAANNNNNGCAACGAGCGCAACCCCUACCUUAUGUUGCCAGCACUUCGGGUGGGAACUCAUGAGAGACUGCCGCAGACAAUGCGGAGGAAGGCGGGGAUGACGUCAAAUCAUCAUGCCCCUUAUGACCUGGGCUACACACGUACUACAAUGGGAGUUAAUAGACGGAAGCGAGAUCGCGAGAUGGAGCAAACCCGAGAAACACUCUCUCAGUUCGGAUCGUAGGCUGCAACUCGCCUACGUGAAGUCGGAAUCGCUAGUAAUCGCAGGUCAGCAUACUGCGGUGAAUACGUUCCCGGGCCU